rnacentral:rRNA from 1 species
CAGCCGCCGCGGUAAUACCGGCGGCCCGAGUGGCGGCCACUAUUAUUGGGCUUAAAGCGUCCGUAGCCGGGUUGGUUAGUCUCCCGGGAAAUCUGGCCGCUUAACGGUCAGAAUUCCGGGAGAUACUGCCAGCCUAGGGACCGGGAGAGGCCGAGGGUAUUCCCGGAGUAGGGGUGAAAUCCUAUAAUCCCGGGAGGACCACCUGUGGCGAAGGCGCUCGGCUGGAACGGGUCCGACGGUGAGGGACGAAGGCCAGGGGAGCAAACCGGAUUAGAUACCCGGGUAGUCCUGGCUGUAAACGAUGCGGACUUUGUGUCGGACAAGCUAUGAGCUUGUCCGGUGCCGGAGGGAAACCGUUAAGUCCGCCGCCUGGGGAGUACGGCCGCAAGGCUGAAACUUAAAUUGGCGGG